rnacentral:rRNA from 1 species
AGUGAACGCUGGCGGUAGGCCUAACACAUGCAAGUCGAACGGCAGCACAGUAAGAGCUUGCUCUUACGGGUGGCGAGUGGCGGACGGGUGAGGAAUACAUCGGAAUCUACUUUUUCGUGGGGGAUAACGUAGGGAAACUUACGCUAAUACCGCAUACGACCUACGGGUGAAAGCAGGGGAUCUUCGGACCUUGCGCGAUUGAAUGAGCCGAUGUCGGAUUAGCUAGUUGGCGGGGUCAAGGCCCACCAAGGCGACGAUCCGUAGCUGGUCUGAGAGGAUGAUCAGCCACACUGGAACUGAGACACGGUCCAGACUCCUACGGGAGGCAGCAGUGGGGAAUAUUGGACAAUGGGCGCAAGCCUGAUCCAGCCAUACCGCGUGGGUGAAGAAGGCCUUCGGGUUGUAAAGCCCUUUUGUUGGGAAAGAAAAGCAGCAGGUUAAUACCCCGCUGCUCUGACGGUACCCAAAGAAUAAGCACCGGCUAACUUCGUG